GACGAACGCUGGCGGCGUGCUUAACACAUGCAAGUCGAGCGGUAAGGCCCUUUCGGGGUACGACGAGCGGCGAACGGGUGGAGUAACACGUGGGUGACCUGCCCUCCAGCUCUGGGAUAAGCCUGGGAAACCGGGUCUAAUACCGGAUAUGACUCCAUGACGCAUGUUGUGGGGUGGAAAGCCUUGUGCGGCUGAGGAUGGGCCCGCGGCCUAUCAGCUUGUUGGUGGGGUGAGGCCUACCAAGGCGACGACGGGUAGCCGGCCUGAGAGGGCGACCGGCCACACUGGGACUGAGACACGGCCCAGACUCCUACGGGAGGCAGCAGUGGGGAAUCUUGCGCAAUGGGCGAAAGCCUGACGCAGCGACGCCGCGUGAGGGAUGACGGCCUGG
rnacentral:rRNA from 1 species